CCUCCUCCGCCGCGGCCUCUGGCGCUGAGCGAGGCUGCCCCGGUGCAGUAUGGAGGCGAACGUAGGGUCCACGCAGACUACCGGCGGCGCGUGCUCUGUGUUGGCGGAGGAGACCGAAAAGUGGAUGGAACAGGCGAUGCAAAUGGCCAAAGAAGCCCUAGAAAAUAUUGAGGUUCCUGUUGGCUGCCUUUUGGUCUACAACAAUGAAGUUGUAGGGAAGGGAAGAAAUGAAGUUAAUCAAACCAAAAAUGCUACUCGACAUGCAGAAAUGGUGGCCAUCGACCAGGCCCUAGAUUGGUGUCGUCGACAUGGCAAGAAUCCUUCGGAGGUGUUUGAACACACGGUGCUGUACGUCACUGUGGAGCCGUGUAUCAUGUGCGCAGCCGCUCUCCGCCUGAUGAAAAUCCCGCUGGUUGUCUAUGGCUGUCAGAAUGAACGAUUUGGUGGUUGUGGCUCUGUUCUAGAUAUUGCCUCUGCUGAUCUACCGAAUACUGGGAGACCAUUUCAGUGCAUCCCUGGAUAUCGGGCUGAGGAAGCAGUGGAGAUGUUAAAGACCUUCUACAAACAAGAAAAUCCAAAUGCACCAAAAUCAAAGGUUCGGAAAAAGGAAUGUCAGAAAUCCUGAACUUGUUCUAAUGAAAGACUCGUGCUCCUGGAUGACAUCCUUGGACAGAAAGCUGUUGACAUUGUUGAAUCAUGAAUAGUCUUAACAGUAAAAGAAAUGCAUAAAUGGACAACUCCUUCUUUGUUAUUGAGCAACUAUACUGUGCCAGGCUCUGUUUGUUCGCUGAAGCUGUGAGCAAAACAAAGAAUCCUGCCCUCAUGGAGCUCAUAUUCUAGGAGGAGGAGACAGGUAAUGAACAUAACAGAUUACACAGUAUGUUAGAGGGUGAUAAGAAUUAUGGCAAAAAGAAACAGAACAGGGUAGAAGGGGUGGGCAUGCCAUUUGGUGGUGGGAAUGCUGGUUGCAGAAUUAUGGUUCGUUUCAUCUGAAAUCAAACACAGUUAUUUCUCUUUAUAAAAAUCCAGAUUUAGAGUUUAAAAUCUAAAAUGUAAAAGGACUUCCCUGGAGGUCCAGUGGUUAAGACUCCUCACUUGCACUGCAGGUGGCAAGGGUUCCUUCCCUGGUCAGGGAACUAAGAUCCUACAUGCCGUGUGGCGCGGCAAAAAACAAAACAAAACAAAAAGCAAAACUAAAAUGUGAAAGUGUGAGCACAACCCUCAAAGGGUAUCCACAGCAGGAAGUCCCAGGUAUUGAUGCUUCCUGACUGCGGCAGGGGUUGCCUCUGAUGAACUGCAGCUUUGCAGAGCCAUGCCGGGAUGCUCUGCAUCUGCCCAGAAGGGGGCCUCGCCGUUCCACCAGAAGCCCAGCUCCAGGCCCUGGAGGGCAGCUCCUCCGUUGCAUUUCUUCAGUGGAUUUAUUUCCUUGAUGCAAAGCAUCUGUAUUUGUUGGUUCUGCCAUUUGAGCGAUGUCUCUGACUUGUUUGUUUUGAAUUACAUUAUAGGCUGGAAUGUAAUUGUGGUAAAGUAUUUUUAUAUUGCCAAGAGUAGCAGUUGAUCACAGUUACAUGCUUCAGAGGAUUUAUAAUUGCUUGGUUUUGUACAUGUGUGUUUUUAUCUGCAUUUGAGAAGUUUUAUGGAGAAGAAUAUGCAUGAUUUUAAAUCUAUAAUAAUGUUACAUAUACCUUCCCUUCAAUUUCACCUACUUUAAAAAUGAUCUUCUCAUUAAAUUUUAGUGCUUUGACUAGGUUAUUCCUUUUUGCCAUUGGUCAUGAUUCAUUUCUGCUUUUGCUUUUCUGCAAGCAUACUUCAUUGCACUUAUUGUCUUCGUGUCAUUUUCUUGGGGAUUAUUGGUAGAUUAAAAACCCUGGGAACUUUUUUCUGGGGAGUACCACCCUUUAAGUCCAGCCAAGCAUCUUAUGUCAAGUUGGUUCUUGGUAAAUAUUUGUUAAAUAAAAUUAUUGAUUGAAAUUUAGGGAAAAAUUAAUAAUAAGGAGAAUAUCUGGGAUAAAAAGCCAAAGCCAAAUAGUACCUGGGUAUUUUAACCCAGAGAUAGUCACUACUAAAAGGAUCAAGAAAAUAAUAAAACUAAAAAGAGGGAAGGACAGAAAAGACUUACCGCUAUACAUAUGUUCUGUCUUUGCUGUGUUUUGGAGAAUGGGUAAGUGUUCCAAAUUCCUAAGGAUGGCUGAAAAUUUUAACUCUGGUUAUUACUUUUUUGAUUCUCUCUCCAGUAAUCGACUUAUAGAAUAGUCUCUCCUAAAUUUUUGGUCUUAGGCACAGUUCCCUCCAUUGCUUUGGGGAACAAUCAGUUUGGAUGGAGUACUGAAGAUGGGAGGUCAGCACCUCCAGCACUGAUACAGGGCCAUUGUGGGCUCACAGAUGUGAAGGCUGUGGGAUUUUGACAGCAGUUAAGCAGUGGUGGUGAGGAGUUGAGGAUGUAUGAUGACGUGAUCCUGCUUCCUGAGUAGCACAUUCUCUAGCUACUUAGACGUGGCUUAAAAUAUUGAAAUGCUGCAGUUAGAAAGAUUGAAUCCAAGUGAUUGAUACUGAUGGAGUGUGUCAAAGAGACCAGCUGAGAGGCUUGUUUUGUGUAUGACAUAAUCCUGCAAGUUGUGGGAUGCACAGAGGUUUUAGAAUCACAGCCUUGUUUGGAGAAAUUAGUGGGAAAUGAUUGCAUCUAAGUUGCUGGAGUACCCAAUGUUUACUGGUCUGUGCACCGGACUCUGCUGAGAAUGGGUGGUGUGUAAUGCUUUGGCACCUUCAGUCACUGAUAAAAGAUCAUGUUAAAAUAUCUGUGCUUUCUUGUGACUUGGCAGUCUCCCAUACUGUGUUGUAUUUGGAAUAUCAUGGAGAGAAAAUAGAUAGCCAAGAACUCCAACGUAGGCAAGAACUGUUAAUUUUUCUUUAAACUCUAUUUGGAAAUAACUUCAAACUUAGAGAAAAGUUGCAGAAAUACCUAUAUAUCCCUUAUU